GUGUGUGUAUAUACUACAGGUGCUGCUUGUGAUUAUAAUGAUGAUAUGGGGCAGUGUGUGUCUGUGUGUGUGUCUCUGAAUGUGUGUGUAUAUACUACAGGUGCUGCUUGUGAUUAUAAUGAUGAUAUGGGGCAGUGUCUGUGUGUGUCUCUGAAUGUGUGUGUAUAUACUACAGGUGCUGCUUGUGAUUAUAAUGAUGAUAUGGGGCACAGUGUGUCUGUGUGUGUGUCUCUGAAUGUGUGUGUAUAUACUAUAGGUGCUGCUUGUGAUUAUAAUGAUGAUAUGGGGCACAGGGUGUUUGUGUGUGUCUCUGAAUGUGUGUGUAUUUACUACAGGUGCUGCUUGUGAUUAUAAUGAUGAUAUGGGGCAGUGUCUGUGUGUGUGUGUCUCUGAAUGUGUGUGUAUAUACUACAGGUGCCGCUUGUGAUUAUAGUGAUGAUAUGGGGCAGUGUCUGUGUGUGUGUCUCUGAA